AGCUUAUUUGGGAGGAACAAUCUUCCUUUCUUUCAUUUGUUUUCUUUCCGCAAUUGUGACUCCAGUACGUGACACAAUUAUCAAAGUUGUCAUGGGCAUAACAUAAAGCACCAACACUCAAAAUCAGAAACCAUACAUAACUUUUCAUCGUUACACUCCGAAUCCUCUCCAAUUUUUUAUCUUCUUCUUCUACGAUCACGAGAACACAGCUCCAGGAUCCACUUCAUUUUCACUCUUCAUAGACCCAACCAUCAAUGUUCGUCUUCUCGGCACCGUCUAACCCUUGCCGCCCUUGCCUUGGCCCGUUCGCUUCUCCUCUCGGCGCCCCUUCAUAGAGUCGCCGCGCACCCCCUCCGUUUCCGGAGUCGAUGAGGACAAUUCGCCUCCGAUCUCAGAGGGUAUCUUGGAGGACACCUUAGAGGAUACCUUGGAAGAUGUUGUGCAUGUCGAGCAAGCAGUGGAAGCCAUGCCGGAGAGCUGUGUCGGACCGUCUGGUCCUUAGAAUAGUUUUCUUUCAUCUUUUAGUAUAGAUAACCGUCCGGUUAUGUUUUGUAAAACCGUUCGGUCGAACUUCUAAAAUCUAUAUUCAGCCUUCACUAUUGUACAGUUUUAAAA